UACGUAGGUGGCUAGCGUUGUCCGGAUUUACUGGGCGUAAAGAGCGCGCAGGCGGUCGUUCAAGUCGAGUGUGAAAGCCCCGGCUCAACUGGGGAGGGUCACUCGAUACUGAUCGACUUGAAGGCGGGAGAGGGAAGCGGGAAUUCCCGGUGUAGUGGUGAAAUGCGUAGAUAAUCGGGAGGAACACCAGUGGCGAAGGCGGCUUCUGGUCCCGUUCUUGACCGCUGAGGCGCGAAAGCUAGGGUAGCAAACGGG
rnacentral:rRNA from 1 species